GUAUUUAUGGGAGAGGGAGGCGUAAAAGAAGAUGCUUCAGCUGCUUUCUAAACAUGUUUGUCGUGGAACAUUAAAAACAUAUGAAAACAGAGCAGUAUAGUGUCCUCAUCAUGCAGCUGCAACAAUGGUCACACCAGGAUCUUGGAGUGUCUAUACUCCCACCCACGUUCCAUACCCCACUGCGCCAUUACUUGGGGUGGAACUGGGGUGGUUUUGAAAGAGGAACAGCAAUUCCCCAAGUAGAAAGUGCUGGAGGGCAAAGUUUGCAGGCAGAGGGGAUGCUGUGCUCAGAAGCUUGAGCAGUGCCUGAUGCUGGUGCACCAAACCGAAGCUGAAGGAGUGGGACAAGAUGCUUUGGCCCCCGUGCAUGCUGGCCCUAAUGCAUCUGUCACACAGCAUGCCCUGUGGCUCCUUUUGGAACUCAGGUCUCCAGGCAAGUCUUCAGCAGAGCCAGAUUAGCGCAGAGCCAGCCCUUUGAGUGCAGGGAGUGAGGAGGCACCGCUAAGAUGGCGGGCCUUGGCUGGGCGUCCGCGGGGCCUUGGUGGGCCUAGAGCGCUAGGGACUGGCACGCACCAGCACUGACGGGCAAAGCGGGCGCAGUCAGGCCCUCCACCCCGCGUCGGCACACGGUCUUAAAUAUUACCCCAGAGUUUUCAAUUAUCUCUCCUUAAUGGAUUUGUAGGGGCUCUUUCAUCAAGCGCGGGGUGGCUGGGUGUGGGGGUGCGGGGAGCCGCGGCGAGGGCUGGAGCUGGGAAAAUGGCCCAUAUUUCAAUAUGAAAGCCCUUUACGAUCGUCAGCAGCAUGAAAGAUGCUGCAAAUUAAACGGAGCCGCCCGCGCCAGCCUCUCCAUCUCGCAAGUUUUAAUUAACGCUGAGGGGGAGGCGGCUGACGGGCGGGUGGGAGCCGGGCCAGCGGCGGAUCUGGGAGCCUGCGGAUCCCAGAUUCCGAACUGGAGCGUCAGGGAUCUCGCGGGCCGGGCCAGGCCAGGCGGAGGCGGAGGGUGGUGGUCUCCGAGCCCGUGGAGAUGGGCAAGGCUGAGGGGUGGGGGACAGGUUGGAAGGUCUCUGAGCAUCUGACCGCGAAACAAAACUCUGCAACUGAAGGCAGGAAGCUUUGUUCUUAAAGAAAUCACAUUCUCCUCUCAUUGUGC
rnacentral:lncRNA from 1 species